CGUAGGGGGCAAGCGUUGUCCGGAUUUAUUGGGCGUAAAGAGCGUGUAGGCGGCCUGGAAGGUCAGCUGUGAAAACUCGAGGCUCAACCGUCGAGACGUCGGUUGAAACCACCUGGCUAGAGUCCGGAAGAGGAGAGUGGAAUUCCCGGUGUAGCGGUGAAAUGCGCAGAUAUCGGGAAGAACACCCGUGGCGAAGGCGGCUCUCUGGGACGGUACUGACGCUGAGACGCGAAAGCGUGGGGAGCGAACAGGAUUAGAUACCCUGGUAGUCCACGCCGUAAACGAUGGGUGCUAGGUGUGGGGGGUGUCCGACUCCCUCCGUGCCGAAGCUAACGCAUUAAGCACCCCGCCUGGGGAGUACGGCCGCAAGGCUA
rnacentral:rRNA from 1 species